UAGUCCACGCCGUAAACGAUGAUUACUCGCUGUAGGCGAUACACAGUCUGUGGCUAAGCGAAAGUUUUAAGUAAUCCACCUGGGGAGUACGAUCGCAAGAUUGAAACUCAAAGGAAUUGACGUGGGCCCGCACAAGCGGAGGAACAUGUGGUUUAAUUCGAUGAUACGCGAGGAACCUUACCUGGACUUAAAUGUACGUUGCAUAGAUUGGAGACAGUCUUUUCUUCGGACUACGUACAAGGUGCUGCAUGGUUGUCGUCAGCUCGUGCCGUGAGGUGUUGGGUUAAGUCCCGCAACGAGCACAACCCCUAUCGUUAGUUACCAUCAUUAAGUUGGGGACUCUAGCGAGACUGCCGGCGUAAGCCGCGAGGAAGGUGGGGAUGACGUCAAAUCAUCAUGGCCUUUAUGCCUAGGGCGACACACGUGCUACAAUGGUGCAUACAGAGGGUAGCGAAGCCGCGAGGUGGAGCCAAUCCCAGAAAGUGCAUCUCAGUUCGG
rnacentral:rRNA from 1 species